AUUGAACGCUGGCGGCAGGCCUAGCACAUGCAAGUCGAGCGGAUGAAGGGAGCUUGCUCCUGGAUUCAGCGGCGGACGGGUGAGUAAUGCCUAGGAAUCUGCCUGGUAGUGGGGAUAACGUCCGGAAACGGGCGCUAAUACCGCAUACGUCCUGAGGGAGAAAGUGGGGGAUCUUCGGACCUCACGCUAUCAGAUGAGCCUAGGUCGGAUUAGCUAGUUGGUGGGGUAAAGGCCUACCAAGGCGACGAUCCGUAACUGGUCUGAGAGGAUGAUCAGUCACACUGGAACUGAGACACGGUCCAGACUCCUACGGGAGGCAGCAGUGGGGAAUAUUGGACAAUGGGCGAAAGCCUGAUCCAGCCAUGCCGCGUGUGUGAAGAAGGUCUUCGGAUUGUAAAGCACUUUAAGUUGGGAGGAAGGGCAGUAAGUUAAUACCUUGCUGUUUUGACGUUACCAACAGAAUAAGCACCGGCUAACUUCGUG
rnacentral:rRNA from 1 species